AGUGAACGCUGGCGGUAGGCCUAACACAUGCAAGUCGAACGGCAGCACAGAGGAGCUUGCUCCUUGGGUGGCGAGUGGCGGACGGGUGAGGAAUACAUCGGAAUCUACUCUGUCGUGGGGGAUAACGUAGGUAAACUUACGCUAAUACCGCAUACGACCUACGGGUGAAAGCAGGGGACCUUCGGGCCUUGCGCGAUUGAAUGAGCCGAUGUCGGAUUAUCUAGUUGGCGGGGUAAAGGCCCACCAAGGCGCCGAUCCGUAGCUUGGUCUGAGAGGAUGAUCAGCCACACUGGAACUGAGACAGGGUCCAGACUCCUACGGGAGGCAGCAGUGGGGAAUAUUGGACAAUGGGCGCAAGCCUGAUCCAGCCAUACCGCGUGGGUGAAGAAGGCCUUCGGGUUGUAAAGCCCUUUUGUUGGGAAAGAAAUCCAGCUGGCUAAUACCCGGUUGGGAUGACGGUACCCAAAGAAUAAGCACCGGCUAACUUCGUGCCAGCAGCCGCCGCCG
rnacentral:rRNA from 1 species